rnacentral:lncRNA from 1 species
GCAUCAUUAGGCUCAUCCAAAGAACAGCCCAAGGACCCAAUUGACGAAGCCACAGAAGGUCCAUCGAUGGACCUAAUGGGCGUCGAUUGUGGUCAUGUUGCAGGCUGUUGGAAGCUGCCUGGCGAGUGUUUCAUUAAAGGGGUGAAUGGGAAAUUCACCCCACGUCCUAACCUGACCCUAUUAGGUUUAUUUGGUUAUUUUUGGGUGUGUUGAAGGGAUAAAAAACGUGAUCAACCCCACUCCCAAUACAAUUCACCAAAUUAGACUUUUUCCUCGAAAAAUAUUCUCUCUAGAACCUCCAUUGAAGGUGAAGCUCAAGAAAAACUUGGAGCUUGGAUUCAUAUGGUUUCUUCAUCAGGUUUUGGAGGUUUUAUUCUAUAUUAAGGUAUGGUAAUCCUUCAUCUCUAAUUAACCUUUCACUUGGGGAGUUCAUCAAAAAGUUUUUCAAUGAAGUUCCAUGAUCAAAUCUCUUCUUCUUCAAUAUAGACAUGGGUUAUUUAUAAAAACAUUUUCAAAGGCUUAAUCAUGAUUAAUUGAUGAUAAUAUAUUUUAACGUGAAAUUCAAUCUAAUUGCAUGAUGAACCCAUGUCCCUUCCCAAACUUGAUUUAGCCCUUGCAUGGGCAUUGUGAUCGUUUGUUAAUAGUUGAAUUGUUAUUCUAUUACGUUGAAUUGCUCAUGUCUACUGUUAUUUAAGUAUAUUGAUGAUGAAUUUUUUAUCAAUGAUCUAAUUGGAUUAAUGUAUGAAGAUUUGAACAUGACUAGCUUAGGUAUCUAUGUGUUCAUUGUACCAUUGUAAGUAUAAUGUAUAAAAUUGGAAUUCAAUUAUGAUAGGAUGCUUGUAGAUACUGCCUUGUUUUGUUUAUUGAUGAAUUAUGGGUAUAAACCCAAGGUGUAUCAAUGUGUGAUAGUUUGAAUAGGAUUAACCUAUGUAAAAUUAUCUUCCAUAAAUUCCUAAGAUGAGGCAUGCUUACAGUGAUUUCGAGUUUAUUGGCAAUUGAGUAGGAUCUUGUUUAGGCUAUAAUUUCUUAAACUACUGACCUACAUGUAAAUUAUUUAUGAAUUUUCAUUGAUAAUCAAUACUAGGGAAAUUUGUUAAUGAUCUAUACCUAUCUAUUCUCUAGAGUAAUGGUGAUUUUUUGCACUAGUUGUAUCAUGAUCUUGUAACAAUAUCUACAUGGUUUCUUUCACGAUUCCAGUACAUUUAGAUACUUCCCUAUACAUGUAUGUUUAUAAAAAAAAGUGUAUUGAUCAAUGUUGAUCAAAAGGGUUGAUGAAUUGGUAAUGUCUACUCUUUCUCUCUACCUUGCUAUAUUAUUGUAGUUGAUGAAGCCUUGUAUGGCAUCGUGUGGUAUGGUCCACUUAUUGUGGUGGUGCUUACAUUACUGUCAUUAUAUAUGUGAUGUGAUCAUGGCCUUGAAGGCAAAUUAUAUAAUGAAUAUGUGUUGGUGAUAAUGACCCAAUGUUAAGUAUCAUGCCUAGUUUCCUAUUCUAGUUGUGAUCUAGGUUGUAUGGCUAUUGUGUAUGCAUGUGUAUGACAAUGUUGGGGUUUGAUUAGGUUCUUCCUUAGAUGAGUAUAAAUGGUUAAUUCUCCCUCGUCCAUGUACCCCUAUGUGAGUAUGUGAAUAAUUAAGUUUAGGAUUCCUAAAUGUAAUGUGAAGAUUGUCUUGUCUCCUUUGCUAAAUUGUGUUGUAGGGUAUAUGCUUGAAAGGGUAAUGCGGUCCUAAGAUGAUGAUUGCCUCAAUGUGUUUUUAAUAGUCAUUACGUGAUCGUGUUGACCAAUGUACACGCACACUCACACAUUAUGCAUGCUUAUCAUCUAGUAAAGGUUCAUAGUAUCUAAUGAAAAGUUGAUCUCACAUUCACUAAAUGUCUACGACUAUUCAUGUAAGGUAAAUGUAUGUGAAGUAUGUUAUGUAUGAUGACUUGAUAGGUGUACUAGUAUGGUCAAGGGUAUGGGACCUUGUUUAUGCAUUGCAUCUCUGUAAUUUGAAUGAAUAGAUCCUAGGUGUAGUCUCUUAUGUGCAUGGAUAUGAAUGCAUUAGUAUGUUAUGAACAUGUCUUUAUAUGAUAUAAUGUGAAGUAUGUGGUAUCAUGAAGUAUGAUUAUACCUAGUGUCUAAAUGUGUUUAUAUGAAAGCAUGGCUCAUAUAGUUAUACUUGUAAAAUUUGCAUGAAUGAAGUAAAGUAUGAACAUGUGUGGUCUAAAGAUGUUAUGUAAAAGGUUUGCUCAAAUGUAGGUGCACACACAUAUAUGAUGAUCUAGUCAAUAGAGAAGCUCUUGGAAGGUGUUCUCAAGAGUAUCCUAAACUAGAUAUGUGCUUGAAUUGCUAUGUCCAUGUUAUAUAGGUUGAUUAAAGGACUUCUCAUCUAUAACCAAUGAGCUAAGCAUAUGAACAGUGUAUCUCCUAUAGCCUAUGUUUUAUGAAGUAAAGUUAAUGAAGGAUUUCUAAUAAAGGAACUUAGCUUAGCACCGAGUGAACUUGAAGUGAGGGGUAUCCCUUCCCCUUAUACGAAGGUAGGUCAACAUAAUACUCAUGAGGUGGAUAACUACAAUGACUCAAUAGGCAUAAAGAGGGUUCCAAAAGUGAAUAAUCAUAAUGCCCCAUUUUGGCAUAAAGAGGGUUUUCACAUAUAUGCCUCCAAGUUUCCAUAACUAUGUUGCCUUAUAGGAUCUAGAAAGUUAUAUCAUUUAAUACGAUAGCAUGAUACUCAUGUCUUACCUUAGCCAGUAAGAUAACCUAUUUUGGUGUUAGGGGGUGACACAAAUUCCAUGUUUGGCUCACAUGGUCUUAUUAUUGGUUAAGGCUAUAUUUUCCCUAAAGUAAAAUGGACAAUGGAAGUAAAGUAAGGACCCUAAAUAGGAUAACCUAAGGUUAGUUGCUUAGUGUAGGUGGGGGAUGGGACUUCACCUAUGCAUUGCACAAGUGGCUCUAGAAGGAAGUUCUAGGGAGGUAUUCUAAUGCAUAUGUCUAUCUAUAUGUUCCUUAUGCAUGACUUUGUAAUAUUUGUCUACUUGUUGUGAUGAAGUGCAUCGUAUCAGUUUUAAUGGAUCUAUGUUAUGUGGUCUUGUCCUUAUAUGCACUAUGUUAGUCUUAAUGACUAUAUGAUGAGGGUCUUGUUAACAUGAAUGAAGUUGCCUUCACUUACUUAUUGAUGCAUGAAAUAGAGUAUUAAGGCUUGUGGUAUUAUGAUAGGUGUACUAAGUAUAUGUGAGGUUAUGGGGCUUCACAUUUACAUUGCACUAGCAGACUUAGAGUAGGAUUGUGAGUAAGGUCUUAUAAUGUAUUGAUGUGAAGUGCAAUUUGUAUAUGUGCAAAGUAGAUAGAAUUCACUGUAAGAUUUCCUAAGGUCUUGGCUUAAUUAUGUCUAUCAUGUGUUAUACUCUAAUGAUGGUAUGUGUUAGCUUAUGUAAAUGGUAUAUAUGGUUUUCCUUUUGACCUUAAGGUGAUGCAUUGCACCAAGUAUUGCUACAAGGAUUACUUGGGAGUUAAGGAAUUGAAGGAAGAAGUUCACGCUAUAAAUAACAAUAGCUCACUGUAAAGUGACCCUAAAGGUGGCUUAAAUUCGAUAUGUGAUUCUACAUGAUGUAUGACUUUUGAAUAUGUUUAUAUGAAGUAUGUGAAUGAUAUAGAUGCUAUUAUAUAAAGGUUUUAUCAAGAUUUACUCAAAAAGACAUGAAAUAUGAUUUCAAGAAAAUGUCCCUUUUUUGUAUGUUUUUGCAUAGUUGUCAUACUUAGUGCAUUCUUGUACUAACUCCAUUCUUCUCUAAUUUAUACACAAAUUUUAGGUUAUGGAUGCUAAAAGGAUGGUUCUUAUGUUGAGGAGCUAGAUAUGUGAUCCCCAAGCUCAAGGAAAAGGAAUCCUUAAGUCCAGGGAUUCCUGAGUCAUGUAUUUACUGUAAAGUGUAUAAGAUUUCUUAUGUAUUAUGUUUUAAUUGCUUUGUACCUAAAGUACUCUUAUGAUGUUGACUCUAGGAUGGCAAAUGAUACUAGAGUCUUUAACUACGUAUGAUGAUAAUUUAUAUAUGUGCUAAGAAUGUUUUAAAUUUUCCGC